rnacentral:rRNA from 1 species
CGGGACGGGUGAGUAACGCGUGGGUAACCUACCUCAUACAGGGGGAUAACAGUUAGAAAUGACUGCUAAUACCGCAUAAGCGCACGGGGAUGCAUAUUCUUGUGUGAAAAACUCCGGUGGUAUGAGAUGGACCCGCGUCUGAUUAGCUAGUUGGUGAGGUAACGGCUCACCAAGGCGACGAUCAGUAGCCGACCUGAGAGGGUGACCGGCCACAUUGGGACUGAGACACGGCCCAAACUCCUACGGAAGGCAGCAG